rnacentral:rRNA from 1 species
AUGCACGCUGGCGGCGUGCCUAAUACAUGCAAGUCGAGCGAACAGACGAGGAGCUUGCUCCUCUGACGUUAGCGGCGGACGGGUGAGUAACACGUGGAUAACCUACCUAUAAGACUGGGAUAACUUCGGGAAACCGGAGCUAAUACCGGAUAAUAUAUUGAACCGCAUGGUUCAAUAGUGAAAGACGGUUUUGCUGUCACUUAUAGAUGGAUCCGCGCCGCAUUAGCUAGUUGGUAAGGUAACGGCUUACCAAGGCGACGAUGCGUAGCCGACCUGAGAGGGUGAUCGGCCACACCGGAACUGAGACACGGUCCAGACUCCUACGGGAGGCAGCAGUAGGGAAUCUUCCGCAAUGGGCGAAAGCCUGACGGAGCAACGCCGCGUGAGUGAUGAAGGUCUUCGGAUCGUAAAACUCUGUUAUUAGGGAAGAACAAAUGUGUAAGUAACUAUGCACGUCUUGACGGUACCUAAUCAGAAAGCCACGGCUAACUACGUG